rnacentral:misc_RNA from 1 species
ACGGAAAAGGAUUUUGAAGAACAUUCGGAUACAAACGAAAUUCAUGAAAGUGAAACAAGUGACGAAAAGGUCGAGCAGGUUGUAAUAAAAAAGGAGAGAAAUUUAAGUAACGAAUCAGAAGAAAAAUUUGAGGACACAGAAAAUAAUUUGAGAAGGCCAGGACGGGAAACAAAGAAACCUCAAAGAUAUGGCCAAACGAGCUCAUAUUUCAUUUAUGUGAAUGUAGUUAGC